rnacentral:rRNA from 1 species
UACGAAGGGGGCUAGCGUUGUUCGGAAUUACUGGGCGUAAAGGGCGCGUAGGCGGCGUGUCAAGUCAGGCGUGAAAGCCCCGGGCUCAACCUGGGAACAGCGCUUGAGACUGGCACGCUCGAGUUCGGGAGAGGAUGGUGGAAUUCCCAGUGUAGAGGUGAAAUUCGUAGAUAUUCGGUAGAACACCAGUGGCGAAGGCGACUCACUGGACACAUAUUGACGCUGAGGUGCGAAAGCGUGGGGAGCAAACAGG